rnacentral:rRNA from 1 species
GCGCAGCAGGCGAGAAUACUUUACAAUGUGCGAAAGCACGAUAAGGGAACUCUGAGUGCCUCCUAAAGGAGGCUGUUCAGGUGUCUAAAAAGCACUUGAAGGAAGGGCUGGGUAAGACCGGUGCCAGCCGCCGCGGUAACACCGGGCAGCCCAAGUGGUAGCCACGUUUAUUGGGUCUAAAGCGUCCGUAGCCGGGCUGGGUAAGUUCCUUGGGAAAUUUGGCUGCUUAACAGUCAAGCUUUUCAGGGAAUACUGCUC